rnacentral:rRNA from 3 species
ACUUAAAUUGAAGAGUUUGAUCAUGGCUCAGAUUGAACGCUGGCGGCAGGCCUAACACAUGCAAGUCGAGCGGUAGCACAGAGAGCUUGCUCUCGGGUGACGAGCGGCGGACGGGUGAGUAAU